ACGAUCGGAUCGACGGUCGCAACACAGUAGUUAGUUAGUUGUAUCCUUCCGCACUAGAUCUUUACCCCCGUAACACACCAUCCAGGGCUUUCUUCUUCUUCCCGAUCCGCGACUCAUCUUCUCGAAAAAGCCAGCGGAAGUAGCUUACGGCGAUGGUGAAGGUGUUGACCUACUUUGGGAUGACAUUGGCUGCUUUCGCCUUCUGGCAAUCCAUGGACAAAGUCCACGUCUGGAUCGCUCUUCACCAAGACGAGAAGCAAGAAAGGAUGGAGAAGGAGGCCGAGGUCAAGCGGGUUAGAGCUGAGCUGCUGCGGAAAGCUAGAGAGGAGGAUCCUCUUGCCUGAUCAUCAUCUUCAGUUGUAAUUUGGAUUUCCUACCAAAUAUGAGUUCUUUUUUUUUUCCAUUGUUAUGGACCCAAAAUGGAGUUUGCAUAAAACGACAAUACAUUAAAUGCUUUUGAAUGUGGGAUGAUGAUAAUCAUGAAUAAGUAGCUUUCUCUUUGUUGCUGCUCUC